AGUCAGAGCUGACAGCAAUCCUCACUAUUCCACACUGCAAGCCUGGGCAAUGCCACCCCCUUGCCAACUACCCCCUCCCUGAUCUCACACCCCUCCAAGCUCUCCCCUCCCCGACCCCAGGGACUGCAGUUGACUCCAGCACAGCAGUCUACACCCCAGCCUGGAGUGGGAGAGACGGUGGAGACAGUGUGACCUCCAAGAAGACAAUAGGUCUGCUCACAAAGGAGGACAGGCACAUGUGGGAAGUUAAACAGCCACAGACCAGAGAAGCACACACACACGCACACUAAGCACAAACAAGCAUGUUGUAUCUUUUUCACACGGUAAGCUGGAGGCUAGCAACGCAAGCCCCAGAGGACAGGUGUGUCACGCCGAAAAUCCUGAUGCUGCAGGUGCUUCUCCGGCACCCAGCCCUCUAAUAUAUCCUUUUUUUUUUUUUUUUUUUUUUUGGUGACAAGUCACUUCAACACCAAGGCCCUUCAGAGCAACUUCAUUUAUUCAAAAGCUCUUCUGAGCAGAUCUCUGUUUGCUCCAAGGAUCUAUCUGCGGUUGACACCUCUUCUGUGGUUAUAGAAAGGCGGUCUGAACAUCUCUAGGCUAACUCAUUCCGGUUGCCAAUCAUCCAGAGAGCCUGGGCAUCCAAGACUCAGCAGCGCCCAUGGAAGUCCAGGACGAUCUGGGAGAGAAAUGACACAGGGGUGGGAAGUGAAGAAUCUCCAUGGUCAACAAUUCAUGGUCUAACCCAGCGCCUAGCACUCAUCGUCUAACCCAGCACCCAGCACUCAUGGCCUAACCCAGCACCCAGCACUCACUGCUCCUAUGGAUGCAUGCACAUGUGAAACAACCCAAAUGGACAACGAAGGGGAUGUGACAAAGAAACAAAAUACUGUUUUAGCUUAAAAUGCUUUUUCACACUUUUUAUUUCUCAUUAGUGAGCAUUUUAAUUUAACGGUCCCCGAUUUCCAGCUUCCCUUCCUUCCUAUCGCUUCCUUCUGCCAGCUUGUUCUCCGACCCAUCGGAUUGCUCUUCCCUGGUGUCCCUGUUUUCCAAACUUCGUGCCACCGUUGUUGGUGCUGUUGUUUUUGCAGUGCUGGGCAUUGAACACAGGGCCUUGCUCUUCCGCUGAGCUACAACUCCAGCUCCUGCCACUGUUUCUCUGUCACCUCCUGCCAUGCCGGUGCCCAAUUUCACCUUUUGGAUCCUAUCCCUCCUUUAGGGCUCCUUCUCUAGCCACCUCCCACUUAUCUAUAGCCCACUCAUCCUUAUGGAGACCCUCCUCCCACUGAGGACCUUGACACUCUGCCCUCUGGGCCUGUCUCACCACCGCCCUAGGUCACUAGUAUUCUAAAGUUAGAGAGACAGCGAAAGUACCAGAGAGAACCCACUCUAUCAUCCACACAGCCCUCCAAUCCCAUCUCUGCCUGGACAUGGGACAUCAACAGGCCAGCAACACAUUCCAGAUGAUGCUACAGGAAUAUGGUACAAGGCCACACAGGAGCACCCUGCUGGGAGCCAUUAGCCAAGUAGGUAUGACAAUUUCCUUGCCAGCGUACCCCAUGUUGCUUAGUGGAAGGACAUUUUGCAGUGACAUUGCAUGUAGGUGACCUUGCUCAAGGACCAAGGCGGAUCCGGGUUUAGGGUGUUCCCGGUUUAGAAUAAUCUGGGUUUAGGGCGUUCCUGGUUUAGGACUAUCCCGGUUUAGGGUGGUUCCAGGUUUAAGGUUACUCCUGCUGGGAAUAGGGCGUAUCCUGCUGCCUGAGUUCCCCUUGAGUUCUCACAGGAUUCAGACAGUAUUUUUUGGGAGAUAGAAGCCCAGUGGGGGUGGAUUUGGGCAGAGAACGUGGAUUUCCCCAGAACGUGAUUGUAGACGGCUGGUGUGAGUUCGGGAAUAAAGAGCUGCUGUUUGAAUCUACAA